GCUCAGGAAGUGCUUUGGGAAUGGACAGGGCUGACUGAGAGGCAGGAGUUGACAUCUGGUCUCUCAAGGCCCCCAUCUGGCUGUGUGACCAUGGGUUCAACUUGGGAGUCAUGGUAGAUAGACGUUGCUACUUGGACCCACCUCAUCCUCCAAACUCUGGGAGAGCACCUGGCCCUUUGUCAGCACUGAGAAAGAUGCAUUCUGGAAGGAGAACUCCCUUGUUUGAGAGCUUUGGCAAUCCUAAAUGAACAAAAAUGCAGCAUUUAAAAACAGGUCAUCUGGUGUUUCAGCUCUUAUCUGUUGCCCAGUUGGUCUGAGAAUGUGGCCCGCAAGACAGCUUAAAUGACCUAUGAUCAAGUAAUCCAAUCCCCACAAAUGGUUCAUUAAUUUGCUAGAGAGAAUUUGUGGCCCACAGAGUCAAAGUUAAAAAAAAGAAUUUUUUUUUAAGUUUUGUUUUUUAUCUUGAAAUUUGAGCUAUCCUGACUUUGGCCAAAGUGUGGUGAAAAGGCAAGGCUUUUAUAUACUAGAGUUGUUUCGACCCAGCCAGGGCCACUCUGGGGAUAAUAUUUAACAAAUGCGUCUUCAUUGAAUUCAUAUCAGUGGUGUCCGAAUGACCGAGGAGACAGGGACUGUGAACUUGUCCUGUGUCUACUAGCUCCUCCCUCAGCUGAUCCCUGAUGAGUUCUACCUUUCCUACUCCAGACAGGCAUGACUAGCUUCUAGAAAGUUCAGCCCUGCUUGGGGCCAAUGGAGCCACAAAAUGCACAUAAAAUUCUUUUGACUAUGCUGGAUCCCUCUAGUGUUGCUAUUUAUUCUCUCUUGAUUUUUUUUUUUUUAUUGUGCACAUUGAGACACCUGUGGGAAAAAUUUGUGGUCCCCUUAGAGGAAAUCCUGAAAGGGCAGUGUGGAAUCAACUCAACCAUAUUUCAUUUUUUUUUCUCCUCCUUUUUCAACAUUUUCACCUAUAUGAUAGGGACAUCCUAC